rnacentral:rRNA from 1 species
GGCCUAACACAUGCAAGUCGAGCGGAAACGAGUUAUCUGAACCUUCGGGGAACGAUAACGGCGUCGAGCGGCGGACGGGUGAGUAAUGCCUAGGAAAUUGCCCUGAUGUGGGGGAUAACCAUUGGAAACGAUGGCUAAUACCGCAUAAUGCCUACGGGCCAAAGAGGGGGACCUUCGGGCCUCUCGCGUCAGGAUAUGCCUAGGUGGGAUUAGCUAGUUGGUGAGGUAAUGGCUCACCAAGGCGACGAUCCCUAGCUGGUCUGAGAGGAUGAUCAGCCACACUGGAACUGAGACACGGUCCAGACUCCUACGGGAGGCAGCAGUGGGGAAUAUUGCACAAUGGGCGCAAGCCUGAUGCAGCCAUGCCGCGUGUGUGAAGAAGGCCUUCGGGUUGUAAAGCACUUUCAGUCGUGAGGAAGGUAGUGUAGUUAAUAGCUGCAUUAUUUGACGUUAGCGACAGAAGAAGCACCGGCUAACUCCGUGCCAGCAGCCGCGGUAAUACGGAGGGUGCGAGCGUUAAUCGGAAUUACUGGGCGUAAAGCGCAUGCAGGUGGUUUGUUAAGUCAGAUGUGAAAGCCCGGGGCUCAACCUCGGAAUUGCAUUUGAAACUGGCAGACUAGAGUACUGUAGAGGGGGGUAGAAUUUCAGGUGUAGCGGUGAAAUGCGUAGAGAUCUGAAGGAAUACCGGUGGCGAAGGCGGCCCCCUGGACAGAUACUGACACUCAGAUGCGAAAGCGUGGGGAGCAAACAGGAUUAGAUACCCUGGUAGUCCACGCCGUAAACGAUGUCUACUUGGAGGUUGUGGCCUUGAGCCGUGGCUUUCGGAGCUAACGCGUUAAGUAGACCGCCUGGGGAGUACGGUCGCAAGAUUAAAACUCAAAUGAAUUGACGGGGGCCCGCACAAGCGGUGGAGCAUGUGGUUUAAUUCGAUGCAACGCGAAG